AGCUGAUCGGCGAGGGGCUGUCGGCGGUCGGGCUGCCGGCCGAUGCCGUGCAGGUGGUGGCCACCGCCGAUCGCGCGGCGGUCAGCAA
rnacentral:tRNA from 1 species